rnacentral:rRNA from 1 species
GACGAACGCUGGCGGCGUGCCUAAUACAUGCAAGUUGAGCGCUGAAGGUUGGUACUUGUACCGACUGGAUGAGCAGCGAACGGGUGAGUAACGCGUGGGGAAUCUGCCUUUGAGCGGGGGACAACAUUUGGAAACGAAUGCUAAUACCGCAUAAAAACUUUAAACACAAGUUUUAAGUUUGAAAGAUGCAAUUGCAUCACUCAAAGAUGAUCCCGCGUUGUAUUAGCUAGUUGGUGAGGUAAAGGCUCACCAAGGCGAUGAUACAUAGCCGACCUGAGAGGGUGGUCGGCCACAUUGGGACUGAGACACGGCCCAAACUCCUACGGGAGGCAGCAGUAGGGAAUCUUCGGCAAUGGACGAAAGUCUGACCGAGCAACGCCGCGUGAGUGAAGAAGGUUUUCGGACCGUAAAACUCUGUUGGUAGAGAAGAACGUUGGUGAGAGUGGAAAGCUCAUCAAGUGACGGUAACUACACAGAAAGGGACGGCUAACUACGUG